rnacentral:rRNA from 1 species
UGGGGAGUACGCNGGCAACGGUGAAACUCAAAGGAAUUGACGGGGGCCCGCACAAGCGGAGGAACAUGUGGUUUAAUUCGAUGAUACGCGAGGAACNUUACCCGGGCUUGAAAUGUAGAGGAAUAAGUAGGAAACUAUUUAGCCAGCAAUGGUCUCUAUGUAGGUGCUGCAUGGUUGUCGUCAGCUCGUGCCGUGAGGUGUCGGCUUAAGUGCCAUAACGAGCGCAACCCACAUUGUUAGUUGCUAACAGGUUAAGCUGAGGACUCUGACAAGACUGCCAGCGUAAGCUGCGAGGAAGGUGUGGAUGACGUCAAAUCAGCACGGCCCUUACGUCCGGGGCGACACACGUGUUACAAUGGGUGGUACAAAGGGCAGCUACCGGGCGACCGGAUGCGAAUCUCUAAAACCACUCCCAGUUCGGAUUGGAGUCUGCAACUCGACUCCAUGAAGCUGGAUUCGCUAGUAAUCGCGCAUCAGCCAUGGCGCGGUGAAUACGUUCCCGGGC